rnacentral:rRNA from 1 species
UGAGCAAUCUGCCCUUCUCUUUGGAAUAAGCGUGGGAAACCGCGUCUAAUGCCGAAUACGACCUCCUUUCGCAUGAUCGGAGGUGGAAAGCUCCGGCGGAGAAGGAUGAGCUCGCGGCCUAUCAGCUAGUUGGUGUGGGUAAUGGCCCACCAAGGCGACGACGGGUAGCCGGCCUGAGAGGGUGACCGGCCACACUGGGACUGAGACACGGCCCAGACUCCUACGGGAGG